GGUGGUUCUCAGGUGACACACCUCAGAACUGGGCUUCCUGCUCUCUGGUUCCAGGUGCGUCACCUGAGAACCACA
rfam:Myotis davidii contig97103, whole genome shotgun sequence.